rnacentral:lncRNA from 1 species
ACGGUCAGCCGUCAGCCACCUACCUCCACCAUCGGCUCCAUCCACAACUAACUGGCUCUGAGUUUUUUUUCACUCAACCAUCUGUACGUACGUGGUUACGUUGUUUAUUCGGAGAUGGAAUUCUAGCUCACGGUUUAAAAAUAGCAGACGUGCACGGUGCUUGAGGAUUUUUUUAAAAAUCGUCAAUGACACCUCCCUCCAUCUUCGAAUAAACGGCCACAUAUUUAUAGUCAAGAGCUAGUUGUGGAUCAGUUAGUCUCCUAUGUAUGUACAUAGUUAGAGACUACGAACAAGAUUUUUGCAUGUUUUUAUUUUUAUAUAUUUUAUUUUUUAAAUAUAGCACUGAUAUGAUUUUAUUUUCUUUGAUGAUCAUAUAUAUAUAUAUAUAUAUAGAUGGGAAAGAGAAGGUGGCUAAAGAGAUAAUAGAAGCUAUUGACGAAGAAAAGAAGUCGGUGAGGUUCAAGGUGGUUGAAGGAGAUCUGAUGGAGUUAUACAAGACGUUUUCCCUCACCUGCCACGUGGAUACUCAUGGUGAGAACAAUUUGGUGACGUGGACGUUGGAAUAUGAGAAGCUGAAUGAUCAGAAUGUGGAGGACCCUCAUACCUUGAUGGAGUUUUGUCUCCAUGUCACCAAAGAUAUUGAAACUCACCAUCUCAAGUGAUUCUAAAUGAUAUGAUGAUGCAGCCAUUGCAGCUAUCUAGCGUGUGUUUAUUUCCUCAAAAUAAAAUUAAUUGCAUGCUUCUUUUCGGUCUAUCUAUUCUACUCUAUAUAUAAGUAAUAAAUAAACUUAUAAUGGCUGUAACUAAACUGUAUGCAUGUGGCUAUUUACUUAUUAUGUGAUUGCUGUUCUGUUUACAGAAAUAUAUAUUCCGACUUAUUUUGAUGGAGUUUCUACCUUUUGAGAGUGCAUAUAUAGCGAUUUAAAUUGCCAAGUAGUAUGUUUAAGACUAUAUAUAUAUAUAUAUAUAUAUAUACGAGGAAUGAUCCAUAUCAUUUAUUUAUUAUGAUCAAAAAUAGCCAAAUAGCAUCCUAACCUUCCGUCCCAAAUAACAACAGAUGUGAUUUAAAAACUGGACCAUGCGUCCGCUGAUUAUUCUAGCAAAACUGAUUAAAACAUGAUUUUGGAAGAUUAUGCCCAUGCCAAAGCAUACGAACCGAAAAAGAUAUCGAGUGGAUGGGUCAUUGGUUCAACCAGUGUUCGAACCGUUAUUGACUCAGUGAUGUCAUUAAUAUAUAAAAUAUAUAUUUUUACUAAUUAAUUAUUAUUAUUUUUAAAUCUCAUUUUUAUGAAUUAAAACACAAUAAAAUUGAGAUUACAACAUUAUUAAAAGUAGUUAAUUUUAAUAUUUAAAUCUUUUUGUUAAAAUUGGGUCACAGGAUUAAUAACCGAUUUUAUCAAUUAAACCAUCAGUUCGACCCAUAGAUCAACUAAAUUUUGACUAAAAUUAAUUUUUUUUAUUUAAACCGAAUUAAAAUAUCAACUGAUUAUAAUUUUUACCAAUCGAAUCAACGGUCAGAUUCAAUUUUUAGAACCAUGGUGAACAUAAUAUAUAUAUUAGACAAAAGUAUUGCGACGACAUGAAUCAUGUGAUAGUAGGUGACCCCUUUUCAUUGGCUUGCAAUUAAUUUAUUAAUCAUUCAUUCCGCAUAAAAACAAAAACUUUAAAAACAUUCGUAAACUAAACAAAUAAAAAAAAUUGUUUCAAUAAAAAUGAGUAGGUGGUAGUUGGAGUAUCAUUUAAUUUAUUGCAUCGGUUUUUUGAAAUUCUAAAACUAUUGGCAAUAUUUUACAUCGAUCUUAUCUUUGCUUGCCAAGUUGCCAUUAUAUAUUAGUAUCGUUACUCCAUUAUUUUUAUACACGAUGGUUAUGUGAAAAGAAUAAAUCUACUAUAACAUAAAAUCAGUCAUAUAUCGUUUAUAUACAUUUAUAUGUAUAUUUUGAUGGUCUACGUAACUUGUUCUGCACGUGGAGCAUCAAAAUAUACAUGUGAAUAUAUGUAAGCGGUAUAUGACUCGUUUUAUGUGAUAAUAAACUUACUGGAGUGAAAAUGCAUGUAUAUACUCCAUGAUUACAUUUUUUUAAAUGAAAUUAAAAUAAAAGUCUAAAUUCUGUGAGAAUACUUAUUUAUCGGUAAGAACUGACUGGCUAGAUAACCGAAACAAGAACCCUAGUUAGGGUUAGUAAUGGAGUCGGUCAGAUUUCCAAGGUUGAAAAAGAAUUUCACGUUGACGAUUAUCUUAUUUAUUUUAGAAAAAUGAAAUACCUUUUUUUUUUUUUUUGUUGAGAUCUUAAUAUUUAAAAUAAAACUACCCCCAAAAUUUGUAUUAUCCCUGACUUAAUUUUAGGGGACGUAAUUAGAAAUUUAUUUAUUUAUUGAAAUCAUAAUUGCCGAAAUUUUAGUGAGACGUAUAUGUAAUUUAAAUGUUAAUCGGUGAUGUCCUUGUGACUCCGUGCCAUGGCUUGUAUGCAAUACUAAAUAACACCGGGUCAAAAACCUUGGGUCUUGGCCCAAAUAGCGAAGGGGUAAGUUGAGUUACAUAAUUAUUCGUCCAUUCAUAAUCAUCAUCAUCAUCAUCAUCCUGAUCUUAAUUCAGUUAAUUUUGAUCAAUUGACAAUAUCGACACACAGACAGAAUGUGAUUUCUCUGCGUGAAAAUGAUUGCAAAAUAUAUCAAAUUGAUUAUAUGUAUAAGUAUGACAACGGUGGACAAAAUAGACUUUUGAAUUACUUUUUUUUUUUUAUCAUUGUUUUAUAUAAAUUUUACUUAUGAUUUUAGUACAAAAAUAAUUUUCUUUUUUUCGUUGUUUUAUUUUUAAAUGACAGUCAAUACCUUUCGAGUGUGCACUAAGUAAUUCGUGACCCAUAAACACCACUAUAUAGUUGCAAGUCUUGCAUAGUUGCAUUGAAUAUCCAUGUCUUGAUCUUCUUAGUAAUGGAAGGUCUUGCGAAAAGCAGUAGAACAAGAUCUUAUAGUAAUGUACUGCUAACUCUGAAGAAAUUAAAAAUAAAAGGAAAAACGAGUUUUAUGUAGGAAAUAAUUGAAAUUUUACCGAAUCACAAUACAAAUAAUUGAAAUGGUAAUACAUAAGGAUAUUAUGAUAUUAAUUACAAUUAAUAUCACAAUAUCCUUAUGUGGGAAAAAUUAGUUUGACAAAAGAGAGAAGGUAGAAAUGACUUGCUAGGAGUAUCAUUUAUGGCAUCCUAUCCGUCUAUUGCCGGAUCUGGAAAGCUGGACUCCAUGCUACCCAGAUAAUUUUAAAAUCUGAUUCAAUGUGUCAAAAAAUUACUAUGUACUUAACUUGCCCAAAUGUCGUAUUUUUUAUUCUAGUUAAAUCCUAAUCGAAAGAACUUUCUUUCUUCUUUUUUUUUUAUAAUAAAAUUAUAUUACACAUUAUGUCCCAAGUUCCCGUGAUAAUAAGACUGUAAAAUAAGUAAACAGUUCGGGUUCGAUUUGUACUCGCUCGACUCGAAAUAUAAAUGAGUCAAAUAUGAACAAAUUCUAAAGAUUGAUAAAUAACUCAAACCUGCUCAAAUUGUAAUUUUCUAUUGAUAUUCGGAUCAUAUUCUUUCGAAAAGUUUAAAUUGCUCAGACUCGAUUAGGAAUCGUGCUCGACUCGGUAGCUAAAUGAGUCUCAAUCAAUCCUUAUUUUAUACUCGAUAUAUUUUAUGAAUCAAAGUUUAGCAACUCAAUACUGGACUUAACUCAGUUCAUUUACACCAUUUCGUGAUAGUGUCUUGAUCAAUCAUUUAAUGUCAUUAUUUUCGUACACCUUGGUGGGACUAUAUCAAUAAGUGGACACGGACAGAUCCACCCUUGGGCCAGAUGCCAUAGAUGGAUUUUCAAGAAAUUUUUUGUACUAUAUAUUUAUGAUGUUUUAAUAUAAAUAUAUAAAAAAAAGUUACUCAUGAGAGUUUUGACAUUCGACUUAAUGAAUUCAUUUAGAAUAUGUGUUAUUUAAAUGAAUUUCUCUUAAUUAUAAGAAAUAAAAAACUUUUAAGCAUCUCAAUUGUAUCUUUAAUUGUUGUUGAUGGUAGGCGGCGUCCGGAUAGAAUAACAAUAUUGUAAUAUACAUCCAUUCCAUUCUAACACUCCAUAAUUAACAAACCACGUUUGAUUAAAAGCUAUACUCUCUCCGUUCUAAAUUAUGAAAUUAAUAUUAUUUUUACAAUUCAAUUUGUGACAUUUUCUUAUUUAAAAUUGACAUGAUUCGUUUAAAUUUUAAUAACAAUAAAUUUUAUAAUUAACCAAUAGUAUUUUUUAUAUAAUUUAUAAUAUUUUUAAUUGUAUUGAUAUAAGCUACAUAAAUUUAUCAACUUUAAAUUUAAAAAUGUUUAAAAUUGAUUUUUAAAAAUUUAAUCGUGAUCUUAUAAUUUAAAACGCAUGAAAUAUAUUGUUUUAAAAAUGAAAAUAUAUAUAGGUGAUGAGAAGGGCAUGCAUGUGAUCAUGUCAUAUAUAGUGAUCCGGUCAAAUGUCGCAUUCACUUAAUAUAUAGUGAUCCGGUCCCAGUUGAUUAUAUGGAUAUCUGCUACGUACGUACAUUACUAUAAAUAGCGCAUUGGGCAGGCAUAUUACUCAGUGUAGUGAUCACUUGAUAAUUUAAUACUAGCUAGUAUUAUUAUUGUUGUUAUUGUUAAUAAGAUGAGCAUUACUGAUUUAAGUGGGAAGCUUGUAAGCCAAAUAGAGAUCAAGUCUGAUGGAGAUGUGUUCCAUGAGAUCUUUAGAUACAGGCCACACAAUAUCUCCGAAAUGAGCCCUGGUAAAAUCCAGGGGGUUGAUUUGCAUGACGGUGAUUGGGGAACUGUAGGCUCUGUCAUCUUCUGGAACUACACUCACGGUCAGCCACCUAGCUCCACCAUCGGCUCCAUCCACAACUAACUGGCUCUUGAUUUUUUUUCACUCAGCCACCUGUACGUGGUUGUUUAUUCGGAGAUGGAAUUCUAGCUCACGAUUUAAAAAUAUCAGUCGUGCACGGUGUUUGAGGAUUUUUUUUUAAAAUCGUCUGUGACACCUAGCUCCAUCUUCGAAUAAACGGCCAAAUAUUUAUAGUCAGAGCUAGUUGUAGAUCAGUUAGUCUCCUAUGUAUGUACAUAUAGUUAGAGACUACGAAGACGAUUUUUGCAUGUUUUUAUUUUUUAAAUAUAACACUGAUAUGAUUUUAUUUUCUUUGAUGAUCAUAUCAUGUAUACAUAUAUAGAUGGGAAAGAGAAGGUGGCUAAAGAGAUAAUACAAGCUAUUGACGAAGAAAAGAAGUCGGUGAGGUACAAGGUGGUUGAAGGAGAUCUGAUGGAGCUAUACAAGACGUUUUCAUUCACCUGCCACGUGGAUACGCAUGGUGAGAACAAUUUGGUGACGUGGACGUUGGAAUAUGAGAAGCU